UUUGAAGACAUACAUGCUACGAAAAUACCCCACAGUGCAAAUACUUCAAGAAAACCCCUCACUAUCAAUCCCUCAGGACAACAAUAAUAAGGAUAUAGAAAAUCAAAUUAAAAGUGAAAAUGCUGAUAUACAAAUAGAAGUCAAUGAUGAGGCAGCCGCACUUCAUAGACAAACAUUUUUAAAUUCAAACCAUUCUUCUGAAAUGCGCCGUGUUUGAUCAGAUUCACUCACCGAAGUAGCAGGCACUCUAGAGAAAGUGAAAACUAUAAUUUCACACUUUAGAAGAAAACCAUGGCAAAAUUAAUGAAGUUUCAGGAGAAUAUUGGUUUAAAACCCCUAAGAACCUUUUCCAGGAUGUGGUUACGAGGUAGAACUCCACCUACUAUAGUCGAGCAAUUUAUUGAAGCUGUACAGAGUACAAUAGCUUUAUUCGAUGCUGAUUUUCCUCAAUUGACAUUGGAUAAAUGGGCCCUUCUAAAAGAACUGAAAAUGCAUGCAGUGAGCUUCUAAAAAUUGACAUGAGCACAUGUGCCAAAACAAUAUUUAAGAAAUUGCAAAGCGUAACGUUUCGUAAUAGAGUGGGAAAUUUGGAGAGUUUGGCAUUUAAAAAUAAUGACGUUUUAGGAAGAGUAAAGAAAAAUAUAGCAGAGUUGGGUGACAUUAUUUAUAAAAAAGAUCCGGUAAAAAUACCCAAGGCUCAACAACCAUUUACAAGCAAUGUGCAAGAUAUUUAAUUAAAAAACCAACUUUUUCAGUAUGGGAUACAUUUCACAAAAAAAAAUCUAAAAGUGAAAUUCAAAUACCUAGUAGUUCUACCUCUAGGGUAGAGUCCAUAAAAUGAGAGAAUAUGCCGGUGACGUCAGACUUCGCGCAUCUAAGCUGGCUAUCGUUAAGCGUAGAAGCGUAGAACUCUAGCAGAUGUGAAAGAGAGAGAUGCAUGUAUUCACGGUCAAGUAAACCUAAUCAGGGAAAUAUGGGGCCUCCCCUUUAUUGAUUUUUUGGUUUAAAUUUAAGUUUGUGCGCAUUUUACGUCACCGGCAUAUUCUCUCAUUUUAUGGACUCUAAGUAACCACCGCCGUCGCCUUAAGGCAAAAAAUCUAGAAAAAUUAUUAUUUUUGAACUUUAAGGCCAAAUUGUGUAAGUAGAAAAAAGCAAAAAAAAUUUACCGAAGAGCGUUUUUUUUUUGUUAGAAGAAUUAUGUUAUAUUUUAUUUUUAUAUUUCGUGUUGAAUUGUUUUUUUUCCAGAAUUUGUACUCUUUUAUUUUUUAAUUUUUGUUUUUCUUACUUUUUUAAAUAAUAUAUAUUUUGUAAUA